GAUGAACGCUAGCUACAGGCUUAACACAUGCCAGUCGAGGGGAAACGACAUUGAAGCUUGCUUCGAUGGUCGUCGACCGGCGCACGGGUGAGUAACGCGUAUCCAACCUGCCUCUGACCAAGGGAUAACCCGUCGAAAGUCGGCCUAAUACCUUAUGCAGUCGUCGGAAGUCAUCUGAUGACGACGAAAGAUUUCAUCGGUGAGAGAUGGGGAUGCGUCUGAUUAGCUUGUUGGCGGGGUAACGGCCCACCAAGGCAACGGUCAGUAGGGGUUCUGAGAGGGAGGUCCCCCACAAUUGAACUGCGACACGGUCCAAAGUCCUACGGGAGGCCAGAGUGUGGAAUACUUGUAAAUGGGGGAGGGCCUUAACCAGGCAAGUUGCGUGGAGGAUGUCGGCCGUAUGGGGUGUAACACUCUUUUAUGAAGGGAUAAAGUGAGGGACGUGUCCUUCAUUGAAGGUACCGCAUGAAUAAGGAACGGCUAAUUCCGUG
rnacentral:rRNA from 1 species